GACGAACGCUGGCGGCGUGCUUAACUCAUGCAAGUCGAACGGAAAGGCCCUGCUUUUGUGGGGUGCUCGAGUGGCGAACGGGUGAGUAACACGUGAGUAACCUGACCUUGACUUUGGGAUAACUUCAGGAAACUGGGGCUAAUACCGGAUAGGAGCUCCUGCUGCAUGGUGGGGGUUGGAAAGUUUCGGCGGUUGGGGAUGGACUCGCGGCUUAUCAGCUUGUUGGUGGGGUAGUGGCUUACCAAGGUUUUGACGGGUAGCCGGCCUGAGAGGGUGACCGGCCACAUUGGGACUGAGAUACGGCCCAGACUCCUACGGGAGGCAGCAGUGGGGAAUAUUGCACAAUGGGCGGAAGCCUAAUGCAGCAACGCCGCGUGCGGGAUGACGGCCUUCGGAUUGUAAACCGCUUUCGCCUGUGACGAAGCGUGAGUGACGGUAAUGGGUAAAGAAGCACCGGCUAGCUACGUG
rnacentral:rRNA from 1 species